GAUGAACGCUAGCGGGAGGCCUAACACAUGCAAGCCGAGCGGUAGAGUUUCUUCGGAAACUUGAGAGCGGCGCACGGGUGCGUAACACGUGUGCAACCUACCUUUAUCUGGGGGAUAGCCUUUCGAAAGGAAGAUUAAUACCCCAUAAUAUAAUGAUUGGCAUCAAUUAUUAUUGAAAACUCCGGUGGAUAGAGAUGGGCACGCGCAAGAUUAGAUAGUUGGUGAGGUAACGGCUCACCAAGUCAAUGAUCUUUAGGGGUCCUGAGAGGGAGAUCCCCCACGCUGGUACUGAGACACGGACCAGACUCCUACGGGAGGCAGCAGUGAGGAAUAUUGGACAAUGGGUGAGAGCCUGAUCCAGCCAUCCCGCGUGAAGGAUGACGGUCCUAUGGAUUGUAAACUUCUUUUGUACAGGGAUAAACCUACUCUCGUGAGGGUAGCUGAAGGUACUGUACGAAUAAGCACCGGCUAACUCCGUG
rnacentral:rRNA from 1 species